rnacentral:rRNA from 1 species
UACGAAGGGGGCUAGCGUUGUUCGGAAUUACUGGGCGUAAAGCGCGCGCAGGCGGUCUUCCAAGUCAGUGGUGAAAGCCCGGAGCUCAACUCCGGAAUUGCCAUUGAAACUGUUGGACUUGAGGAUGAGAGAGGUGAGUGGAAUUCCCAGUGUAGAGGUGAAAUUCGUAGAUAUUCGGAAGAACACCAGUGGCGAAGGCGACUCACUGGACACAUAUUGACGCUGAGGUGCGAAAGCGUGGGGAGCAAACAGG